AUCCUGAUGAGGUACCAUGGGGCCAGCCCUGCUUUGCAAGAUGCCUCUGCAAGGAAAAGAGCUGUUAACCCAAAUUACUUGGUAGCGCUCAGAAAUUCUAGCAGAUUUCCAUAGAGGGGGGAAAAUUAAGAUCAUAGAAAACUCUUGGCAGCAUAUGAAGGGAGAAGCAAUGCCAGACUUGUAACCAAUCAUGAAAAUGCAUGUUGUGAAGAAUAAAGAAAUGAUGAACCCUCUUCACUAAUGAACUCUACUUUUAUUCAGAAUGAAGAUGUCUUCCAGCAACAUGUUUUUUCUUUCUCUUUCUCCCCACUUCUAACAUGCUGAGUGAAAAGAAAAAAGCCCAGUUCUACAUGUCUUGAACAGACUCAAACAUCUGUGAAUAAAUAAGUGCUAAACAUUAGAUACCUCCCAUUUAAGUUUCAAAGUCUCUUUCAGAGGAUAGUAAAUGAUAUUAUUUUGCCUCCCAGAAAGGAAAAUUAAUUCACAGAGAGGCUGACUUA